UGGCCCUUUUGGAGACCCACGAUGCCCAGUAGCUAUUCCUAAAAAGCCAUCUUUCUUCUCUCGCGAUAUUUUCUUUCGCUCUGUGGCAAGGGUGCAGCGCUCUUUCAUCACUUUCUUCUUCAAUCUUUUGUCCUUCUUCACCAUAAGAAAAUUACACCAAAUCACCCCAUGAAUUCAUGCUAUUGAAGGACAAAAAUAUCUUGCAAGUGGAAAGGUUGUUGGCAUAGUUUUGGGGGAUCGGAUUUGUGCUAAGGAAUGAGAGAGUACCCGCCCCUUCAUGAUUACUCAGUCGGGUUAUUGAGAUUUAUCGGCUAGUGGUUCGUUCGGUUGGCGUGGAGCUGUUGAGAGCGAUUCAGUUGAUUCGUCUUGGUUGUGAGUGAUUUUCCAAUCACUGUGACUUACUUUUAAUAAUUAUACAACUGAUGAUUUGAUUAUUUUAGCAUAUUGCAUAUUUAUUUAAAUUGGGGAAACAUGCUUUACAAUUCGUGAAUUAUCUGAAAGCUGGUUUUAUGAAAAUGAUCUGAGUCUGAUUCUGAACUGACAUGAGAAAACAAUUUAUAUUACUUUGAUUUUGGAAAUUAUGUGAAACUGAGAUUAUGAACUUGGAAAGUUGAUUUUGAGACUCUUGAUGAGACUUGAACUGAUUUGAGAAAACGGUUUUGGGGAUCCUUGAUAGAACCCCGUAGCCGUUAACGGAGGUAACGGCCUAGGUGCACCUAGUUAGAUUGAUUCCGGGAGGAGAUGGCUAUCCGUUAGAUGGAGCCGCCAGUGCACGGAGAGGGCUAUCAACGAGAUGUAGCUUCCCCCGGUAAUACGAUUCGACAUGUGAUACGAGAGAGGAAAGGGCUAUCCGUUAGAUGGAGCCGCCCCUAUCGGAUAGGCCAUCCCUUAGGAGGAGAGGGCUAUCAACGAGAUGGAGCCGCCUCACGGUUCUACAUGUGUGACCCUAUUAAAUUAUAUUUCUGAUUUUUAUAUGCUUUCACAUGACUGGCAUGAAUUUUUUAUUCAGUUUCAUUGAAAUGAUUAUUUAUAAACUUUGGCAGUUUAAUAAUCUCUUAUUUGAAAUGAUUCUUAUUAAUUUUAUAUAUAUUAUACACUCUGAACUGAUAGUGAAAAACUCGUGCUUCAUUUGUUUCCCCUUUCCUGUUCAUGGUGGUUGUUAAAUCCUCACUAAGUCUUUGUGACUUACCCCAUUCAUUAUUUCCAUCCACAGAUUUUCGGGCAACUGAGUAGCAUACUGUUGUCAGAUUCAGACCAUUCGACAGGUUGUCAUAUUGGUGUCUUCUAUUUGAUUCUAGUGAUCUGCAGCUAUAGGGAGUCUUAGAAGGAUUUAGAUUUGAGAUUGUUAUUUUUUGUUUUAUUGUAAAAGUUGAACAUGAGUGCUUAAAUUGGAAAAUUCCUUUUAAUGGAAGUAUGAAAAUGGGGAUCAUUAUUUGACAGGUUUUGUCAUUGGAGAUAUUAGUAAUACAAAUGAGAUCUUGUAUCUUUAUUUUUAUAAAUAUAGAGAAACAUAUGUAACUUUAGAGAAUAGUUUGGAAAAUGAUUUUUUGUGAGAAACAGGCUUGCCAGACUAGGGUGUUGGUCUGUGCGCCGGUCACGACUUAGGAUUUCGGGUCAUGACAAAGUUGGUAUCAGAGCUUUGGCUGUAGGUCCUAUUAGCUGCAGACAUGAGGUGGUAAUAGAAUCUUGCUAGUAAAUUGUGAACCGCGGCACAACUUACUUCCAAGGUGCUAUUAACUCCUCAUGAGUGUUCUAAAGUUUUUUUUUUUCCUAAGUGUGAUUUGAGUUCAUUCCUCAUUCACAUAAAUCUGAGUCAUGUCUUAUAUUCUGUGAAUAUUCUUUGUUCAGUGAGGAUGCCACCUAGUUAAGAUUCUUAGUACCUGAUGAGUCUGCUACCCAUCAUGCGAACCCUUCUUAAGGUGAUCAUGGUUGACAUCAUAGUGAGGAUUCCUAGUACAUGUUGGUCACUGAUAUAGCUAACGUUAAGAUUCCUAAAUCUUGGUGAGGAAACGUAUGAACAAUAGAUUUCCCAACUGGUUUUAUGGGAUUAAAACAUGAAGUGAAACAAUGUAUUGGUGUUUUAUUGGGCAGCAAUAACAAGAGAACCAACCUGAGACAACUUAGAAGCGUCAACCAAGGGAUAUACAUAAGGGGUAAACUAAAGUAGGUGUCACUAUAGAGAUUAAGGCCACACUAUGUGAUUUAACUUUUCUGGUACUAGUGCAAGUGAGAAUCCGCAAAGGUUAUUGAUGUUUUUGAGAGUCUAUAGAAAGCACUUGGAUGCUUGUGGAUGAGGGUAGUAGACUUAACAGCAUUGAGUUGGAGCGUGUAGCAUAUGAUUGAUUCGAUGAUUUAGGUGUACGAGAGCGGUGUAAUCAUCUCUAAUAACUUGGGUGGCUUUUCCCCGAAAUUCAUGAAUCAUAAUCUUCUUGAAAGUGUCAUAGAUGGUUUGACUCACGUGCUUGAGUUGUUGGAGUAGAAUGAGUAGAGUACAAUGGCACCAGAGAGUAGUUAAAGUAGAUAAUCUUAAAGCUUUGUGUGGAGUCAUAGACUAGAUUUAAGGGACCCUUACGAUCCAUUUUUCCUUAAAUGCAUUUUUGCAUCAGAUCUAUACCUUGUUUUGCUUGUCAAAAGAUUCAUCAUGCAUAUUUCUUUGGAGAUAGUAUGGUGUGAUAUUAGUGCAGUCAGACAAGUCAUAUUGUGGAAGAUUGUCUUGUGGUGGUGGUGCAACUUCCUCUUGUCUUGGAUACGCGUUAGUAGGGGCGUCUUUAGCAUUUUCUCUGACCCUUACAACAUUUGCGUAGCAUUUGGUUUCAGGAAUGGGUUGUGAUGCAAAGGCUGCCUUGGACAUUCAUAAUCUCCGGGAAGAGAAUCCAGAGAAGUUUUAUAAUCGGGUUAUUAAUGUCUAAUUGGAAUUGGUAUCAGAGCCAACCUCUCCCAGUACGGUGUGGUUCGAGGACGAACCAAGCGGAAGCUGGUGGGCCUGUGACACCCGGGGCUGAUGAGGGCGGUGAGUGAUCGCCGGUGCAGUGAGGCACGGACAAGGAGCGGCUCCUGGCAGGCUUCUAGGCGGAGGGUCACAGGAAUGAACCGAUCUCACACCCGAACAAGAGGUAUUCCGAGACUGUGUAGGGAUGGACUAUACAGUUGAGGAGGGCAUAUAUGAUUUGAUUGUACUACCCAUAACAACAAGUUGCAACUUCUUUUCGGGAGCCCAACUGAUAAGAACUCCAUGGUUAAGUGUGCUUGCCUUGGAGCAAUAUCGUGAUGGGUGACCUCCUGGGAAAUUUUCCCGGGAAGUGCGCGAGUGAGGACAAAGCGCACUGAAAAGACUCGUGUUGUUACCGUGAGGCCAGUCGUCAGAUCGGGAUGUUACACUUUAUCCAAUUCCGUCAUGAGCUCAACAUGCAAUAUUGCUUAGUGGAACUCCUGCUUUAUCCCGACCGAUUGAACUGUACAAGCAGCUGGAAGCUUUGUAUCCUGAUGUAUAUAGGAAUGUUCAUGACUAUGGCAACCGGUACUGCAAGGGUGGAAUUUUUGGAAUUUAUCAAGGUUCAAGUAACCAUGAAGAAUUGCACAAUUUGUUGAAAGCAAGCAUGAU